GACGAACGCUGGCGGCGUGCUUAACACAUGCAAGUCGAACGGAAAGGCCCUGCUUUUGUGGGGUGCUCGAGUGGCGAACGGGUGAGUAACACGUGAGUAACCUGCCCUUGACUUUGGGAUAACUUCAGGAAACUGGGGCUAAUACCGGAUAGGAGCUCCUGCUGCAUGGUGGGGGUUGGAAAGUUUCGGCGGUUGGGGAUGGACUCGCGGCUUAUCAGCUUGUUUGUGGGGUAGUGGCUUACCAAGGCUUUGACGGGUAGCCGGCCUGAGAGGGUGAACGGCCACAUUGGGACUGAGAUACGGCCCAGACUGCUACGGGAGGCAGCAGUGGGGAAUAUUGCACAAUGGGCGGAAGCCUGAUGCAGCAACGCCGCGUGCGGGAUGACGGCCUUCGGGUUGUAAACCGCUUUCGCCUGUGACGAAGCGUGAGUGACGGUAAUGGGUAAAGAAGCACCGGCUAACUACGUG
rnacentral:rRNA from 1 species